rnacentral:rRNA from 1 species
GGAAAGGCCCCUUCGGGGGUACUCGAGUGGCGAACGGGUGAGUAACACGUGGGUGAUCUGCCCUGCACUUUGGGAUAAGCCUGGGAAACUGGGUCUAAUACCGGAUAUGACCAUGGGAUGCAUGUUCUGUGGUGGAAAGCUUUUGCGGUGUGGGAUGGGCCCGCGGCCUAUCAGCUUGUUGGUGGGGUAAUGGCCUACCAAGGCGACGACGGGUAGCCGACCUGAGAGGGUGAUCGGCCACACUGGGACUGAGACACGGCCCAGACUCCUACGGGAGGCAGCAGUGGGGAAUAUUGCACAAUGGGCGCAAGCCUGAUGCAGCGACGCCGCGUGAGGGAUGACGGCCUUCGGGUUGUAAACCUCUUUCGCCAGGGACGAAGCGUGAGUGACGGUACCUGGAGAAGAAGCACCGGCCAACUACGUGCCAGCAGCCGCGGUAAUACGUAGGGUGCGAGCGUUGUCCGGAAUUACUGGGCGUAAAGAGCUCGUAGGCGGUUUGUCGCGUCGUCUGUGAAAUUCUGCAGCUUAACUGUAGGCGUGCAGGCGAUACGGGCAGACUUGAGUACUACAGGGGAGACUGGAAUUCCUGGUGUAGCGGUGAAAUGCGCAGAUAUCAGGAGGAACACCGGUGGCGAAGGCGGGUCUCUGGGUAGUAACUGACGCUGAGGAGCGAAAGCGUGGGUAGCGAACAGGAUUAGAUACCCUGGUAGUCCACGCC